UACGUAGGUGGCAAGCGUUGUCCGGAUUUACUGGGCGUAAAGAGCGCGCAGGCGGUCGUUCAAGUCGCGUGUGAAAGCCCCCGGCUCAACUGGGGAGGGUCAAGCGAUACUGAUCGACUCGAAGGCAGGAGAGGGUAGUGGAAUUCCCGGUGUAGUGGUGAAAUGCGUAGAUAUCAAGAGGAACACCUGCGGCGAAGGCGGGUUGCUGGGCUGACACUGACGCUGAGGCGCGAAAGCUAGGGGAGCGAACGGG
rnacentral:rRNA from 1 species